UACGAAGGACCCGAGCGUCAUCCGGAUUUAUUGGGUUUAAAGGGUGCGUAGGCGGGAUAAUAAGUCAGUGGUGAAAGCCUGUAGCUUAACUAUAGAAAUGCCAUUGAUACUGUUAUUCUUGAGUACAGUUGAGGUAGGCGGAAUGUGUAAUGUAGCGGUGAAAUGCUUAGAUAUUACACAGAACACCGAUUGCGAAGGCAGCUUACUAAGCUGGUACUGACGCUGAGGCACGAAAGCGUGGGGAGCAAACAGG
rnacentral:rRNA from 1 species